CACGGGGGGAGCAAGCGUUGUUCGGAAUCACUGGGCGUAAAGGGCGUGUAGGCGGUUUGGUAAGUGGGAUGUGAAAUCCCUCGGCUCACCCGAGGACCUGCAUCCCAAACUGCCUGACUUGAGUAUGGGAGAGGAUGAGGGAAUUCCUGGUGUAGCGGUGAAAUGCGUAGAUAUCAGGAGGAACACCGGUGGCGAAGGCGCUCAUCUGGCCCAAUACUGACGCUGAGGCGCGAAAGCUAGGGGAGCAAACGGG
rnacentral:rRNA from 1 species